AUUGAACGCUGGCGGCAUGCCUUACACAUGCAAGUCGAACGGUAACAGGGAGCUUGCUCCGCUGACGAGUGGCGAACGGGUGAGUAAUGCGUCGGAACGUGCCGAGUAGUGGGGGAUAACGCAUCGAAAGGUGUGCUAAUACCGCAUACGUACUGAGGUAGAAAGUGGGGGACCUUCGGGCCUCACGCUAUUCGAGCGGCCGACGUCUGAUUAGCUAGUUGGUGAGGUAAAGGCUCACCAAGGCGACGAUCAGUAGCGGGUCUGAGAGGAUGAUCCGCCACACUGGGACUGAGACACGGCCCAGACUCCUACGGGAGGCAGAAGUGGGGAAUUUUGGACAAUGGGCGCAAGCCUGAUCCAGCCAUGCCGCGCGUCUGAAGAAGGCCUUCGGGUUGUAAAGGACUUUUGUCCGGGAGCAAAUGCUGGUGGCUAACAUCCACCGGAGCUGAGAGUACCGGAAGAAUAAGCACCGGCUAACUACGUGCCAGCAGCCGCAGUAAAAC
rnacentral:rRNA from 1 species